rnacentral:misc_RNA from 1 species
GAUGAAGAACGUAGCGAAAUGCGAUAAGUAAUGUGAAUUGCAGAAUUCAGUGAAUCAUCGAAUCUUUGAACGCACCUUGCACCCUUUGGCAUUCCGAAGGGUAUGCUCGUUUGAGUGUCAUUGUACUCUCACACUUCCGAUCUUUGGAUUGGGAGCGGUGGACUUGGGUGUUGCUGCUUACUGUGGCUCACCUCAAAUCGAUUCGUGCACCUCUUGGUUGGACAUAGUACGGCGUGAUAAGUGUCUUCGCCGGCACCUCAGUAGAGGGUGGCUGAUCGGGAUGUUGUGCUCCAAACCGUCUUCGGACAAUCUCUGACGACUUGACCUCAAAUCGAGUAAGACUACCCGCUGAACUUAAGCAUAUCAAUAAGCGGAGGA